rnacentral:rRNA from 1 species
CUACGGGCGGCUGCAGUGGGGAAUAUUGCACAAUGGAGGAAACUCUGAUGCAGCAACGCCGCGUGGAGGAUGACACAUUUCGGUGCGUAAACUCCUUUUAUUAGGGAAGAUAAUGACGGUACCUAAUGAAUAAGCACCGGCUAACUCCGUGCCAGCAGCCGCGGUAAUACGGAGGGUGCAAGCGUUACUCGGAAUCACUGGGCGUAAAGCGCGCGCAGGCGGCCUUUUAAGUUGGAUGUGAAAGCCUACGGCUCAACCGUAGAACUGCAUCCAAAACUAUUGGGCUAGAGUGUGGGAGAGGAAGAUGGAAUUAGUUGUGUAGGGGUAAAAUCCGUAGAGAUAACUAGGAAUACCAAAAGCGAAGGCAAUCUUCUGGAACACUACUGACGCUGAGGCGCGAAAGCGUGGGGAGCAAACAGGAUUAGAUACCCGAGUAGUC